GAUGAACGCUGGCGGCGUGCCUAAUACAUGCAAGUCGAGCGAACGGACGAGAAGCUUGCUUCUCUGAUGUUAGCGGCGGACGGGUGAGUAACACGUGGAUAACCUACCUAUAAGACUGGGAUAACUUCGGGAAACCGUAGCUAAUACCGGAUAAUAUAUUGAACCGCAUGGUUCAAAAGUGAAAGACGGUCUUGCUGUCACUUAUAGAUGGAUCCGCGCUGCAUUAGCUAGUUGGUAAGGUAACGGCUUACCAAGGCAACGAUGCAUAGCCGACCUGAGAGGGUGAUCGGCCACACUGGAACUGAGACACGGUCCAGACUCCUACGGGAGGCAGCAGUAGGGAAUCUUCCGCAAUGGGCGAAAGCCUGACGGAGCAACGCCGCGUGAGUGAUGAAGGUCUUCGGAUCGUAAAACUCUGUUAUUAUGGAAGAACAUAUGUGUAAGUAACUGUGCACAUCUUGACGGUACCUAAUCAGAAAGCCACGGCUAACUACGUG
rnacentral:rRNA from 1 species